GACGAACGCUGGCGGCGUGCUUAACACAUGCAAGUCGAACGGUAAGGCCCUUCGGGGUACACGAGUGGCGAACGGGUGAGUAACACGUGGGUGAUCUGCCCUGCACUUCGGGAUAAGCCUGGGAAACUGGGUCUAAUACCGGAUAGGACCACUGCCUGCAUGGGUGGUGGUGGAAAGCUUCUGCGGUGCGGGAUGGGCCCGCGGCCUAUCAGCUUGUUGGUGGGGUGAUGGCCUACCAAGGCGACGACGGGUAGCCGGCCUGAGAGGGUGACCGGCCACACUGGGACUGAGAUACGGCCCAGACUCCUACGGGAGGCAGCAGUGGGGAAUAUUGCACAAUGGGCGCAAGCCUGAUGCAGCGACGCCGCGUGAGGGGUGACGGCCUUCGGGUUGUAAACCUCUUUCAGCACCGACGAAGCGCAAGUGACGGUAGGUGCAGAAGAAGGACCGGCCAACUACGUGCCAGCCGCCGCAGUAA
rnacentral:rRNA from 1 species